rfam:Triticum aestivum genome assembly, contig: Triticum_aestivum_CS42_TGACv1_scaffold_556069_7AL
AUUAUACUACCUCUGUCCGAAAAAACUUGUCCCUUAAAUGGAUGUAUCUAACAUCAAAUUAAUGCUAGAUACAUAUAUUUGAGGAACAAAUGUGAGGCAAGUUUUUCCGGACGGAGGGAGUACUAC